CAUAGGACCGUAAAAUAGCAAAAUGGAAAAUGUUGUGAUGUUAUUGGUGUGAGCAAUCAGAAGGAAGCAAUAAAACAUGCUGUCCUACGUACAUUUCACGACCCAUCUAACAUUUUUUAUUAGCUGAUCAUCUUAUUAAUGUGACCAAACUUACUCUUGUUGUUGACUUUGCAGAUUUUCGGUAGGACCGGCCAUCUUUUGGGUAUUUUUUUGGUGCAGCUUUCUUAUGGAUUA
rnacentral:lncRNA from 1 species